rnacentral:lncRNA from 1 species
AAAGAGAAAAAAAAAAAAAAGAAUUUUAAUUGUUGGCAUUCGGUUAAAUCGAAUCGGGUACGCCCAUAAGCGGGUUCGAUCCGACGGAUAUUAUGUUAUCUAAUUGGAUUAGGAUUAAUCUCGCUUUCAAAUUAGAAAGUUAGUUAGAGAUAAAUCCUAGUCAUAUUAGGAUAACAAUUAAUAACCGAUUUGGCCUUAUCUCUAACGCCAUAAGGAUUUUGGAAUCCCUUAUAAAUAUGCGGGCGAUCCCACAUAACGUAAUAUAUACGGAAAGAACCGAAAAAGAGAGAGAAUAAGAAAAUAAUAGAGAGAAACCACAUCCUCCAUUGACCUAUUAUUCUAGAGGGACUUGCACGGUGGAUUUGCGAUCGCGCUCGUUUGUAGUUCGAUCCACCGCGAGUUCGGAGAGUUAGAAGAUUUGCAAGGAAGAUUCAAGGACACGUAAAUCAAUCAAUCCGAUCCGGCUCGAAUCGCUUCCGCAAAAAGGUACGAACCGAAAACUUCCGCUGCAUUCUACAUUAAUCAACACAAUUGAAAGUUGAA